rnacentral:rRNA from 1 species
UGGGGAAUCUUGCACAAUGGGGGAAACCCUGAUGCAGCGACGCCGCGUGAGCGAUGAAGCCCUUCGGGGUGUAAAGCUCUUUCGGCAGGGACGAUAAUGACGGUACCUGAAGAAGAAGCUGCGGCUAACUACGUGCCAGCAGCCGCGGUAAUACGUAGGCAGCGAGCGUUGUUCGGAGUUACUGGGCGUAAAGCGUGCGUAGGCGGUGGCCCAAGUCUGGUGUGAAAUCUCCCGGCUCAACCGGGAGGGUGCGCCGGAAACUGGGUCGCUCGAGUACUGGAGAGGCAAGCGGAAUUCCUGGUGUAGCGGUGAAAUGCGUAGAUAUCAGGAGGAACACCCGUGGUGUAGACGGCUUGCUGGACAGUCACUGACGCUGAGGCACGAAAGCGUGGGGAGCAAACAGG